UUCAAUUGCAGCGCUCCCAUUUUCGUCUUCCAAGUGACACGUGUUUAGCAGUUUCAUUUUUCUUGGACAACUUACUAUUAGUUCCAUUUUCACUUCUAUUUCCCAUGUACUCCACUUUUUAUUUUGUUCUUCUCCCUCACCUUUCUUUUUUCUAAGUCAUGGUUUUGGUACAUUUGGCGGAAGUUUUUUGUAUGUCCUUUUAUUGUAAUGGGUCUUUGUUUUAAACCCUCCAAAACUACAUUAAAAGCUUUGUCUUUGGCAGUGAAAGAUCAGAAGAUCCAUUGAUUUGUCAAGUGCUCAUGUCCAUUCUGGGUUUGGAGGGAAGUAAAGCUGAUCAAUUUCAGAUAUUAGCUACGGCCUGUUUAUCGCUUGCAUCCAAGAUGGAAGAUAUGGAUCCUCCUUUGACUGUUGAUUUGCAUGUUACUUAAAUUUAUCAACAGGGAAGGAGAAAAGACGCAAGACUUCUUGGUAUUUAUCUUUCUUGGCAUUACAUGGAUAGUGGCGUAGUUUGAAAAGAAAAAUAACACCACUACUUCAAUUUGUCUAAUGUGUAUGUACCUGUUAAUUUUUCAAGAUCUAUUUUGUUUUUUUGGAGACUCAAGUUUGUAAAGAUAAUGGUUAUAAAUUAGAUAUUUGUGCUAUUUAACUA